rnacentral:rRNA from 1 species
GGACUACUGGGGUAUCUAAUCCUGUUUGCUCCCCUUGCUCUCGCGCCUCAGCGUCAGGUAUAAACUAGAAAACCGCUUUCGCCACCGGUGUUCUUCCACAUAUCUACGCAUUUCACCGCUACACGUGGAAUUCCGUUUUCUCCGUCAAUCCUCUAGGAUUGCAGUUUCAAAUGCAGCUCCAAAGUUGAGCUUUGGAAUUUCACAUCUGACUUACAUUCCCGCCUACGCGCCCUUUACGCCCAAUAAUUCCGAUUAAUGCUUGCACUCUCCGUAUUACCGCGGCUGCUGGCAC